AGACUUCGGUCUGUGGACACUGGCGAAAGGGCGAGUAAUGCAUUCGAACGUGCCCCGAGGUGGAGGAUAGCCGUGGGAAACUGCGGGUAAUACUCCAUGUGCUCUUCGGAGGAAAGCUCCGGCGCCUUGGGAGCGGCGAAUGUCCUAUCAGGUUGUUGGUGAGGUAAAGGCUCACCAAGCCAAAGACGGGUAGCGGGUGUGAGAGCAUGACCCGCCGCAUCGGGACUGAGACACUGCCCGGACUCCUACGGGAGGCUGCAGUAACGAAUAUUCCGCAAUGCGCGAAAGCGUGACGGAGCAAUGCCGCGUGUGGGAUGAAGCGGUUACGCCGUGUAAACCACUGUCAGGGUCUAGGAAGAACUGACCAGACCCAGAGGAAGGGCCGGCUAAUCUCGUGCCAGCAGCCGCGGUAAGACGAGAGGCCCAAGCGUUAAUCGGAAUCACUGGGCUUAAAGGGUGCGUAGGCGGACUUGUAGGUAUGUCGUGAAAUCCCUCGGCUCAACCGGGGAACUGCGGUGUAAACCACAAGUCUUGAGGUAGGUAGAGGUUGUCGGAACGUUCGGUGGAGCGGUGAAAUGCGUUGAUAUCGAACGGAACGCCUAAGGUGAAGACAGGCAACUGGGCCUUACCUGACGCUGAGGCACGAAAGCGUGGGGAUCAAACAGGAUUAGAUACCCUGGUAGUCCACGCCGUAAACGAUGUGCACUAGACCGAUGCGGGUCUGACCCCGUGUCGGUCGUAGAGAAAUUAUUAAGUGCACCGCCUGGGGAGUACGGUCGCAAGACUAAAACUCAAAGGAAUUGACGGGGGCUCACACAAGCGGUGGAGCAUGUUGCUUAAUUCGAAGCAACG
rnacentral:rRNA from 1 species